rnacentral:rRNA from 1 species
AUCCAUGGCCAUAUUACCCUGAACACAGAUGAUCUCAUCUGAUUUGGGAAGCUAAGCAGGGUCAGGCCUGGUCAGUACUUGGAUAGGAGAGAGCAAAAUCUGAGGGUC